CAAUCUACCUAUAACUGGGGAACAACUCCUCGAAGAGGAGCUAACACCGCAUAACAUCACGAGACGGCAUCGCCUUGUGAUCAAAACUCAGGUGGUUAUAGAUGAGCAUGCGCAACAUUAGCUAGUUGGUGAGGUAACGGCUCACCAAGGCAACGAUGUUUAGGGGGUCUGAGAGGAUGAUCCCCCCACACUGGUACUGAGACACGGACCAG
rnacentral:rRNA from 1 species